UCCAUCGUGGUGCAGUGGUAGCACGCCAGGCCAAACAUGCGCGCACGCCGCACUGCUUACGAGCGUGCCACCUCUUUGUAGCCGUACAAGCUGAGCAUUUUGGUGCGUUGCGUGGUGUUUACUGGCUUGCGCAAGCGAGCAGUCUGCCUGGAGACCCGAGUUCGACCCUCGGCGAUGGAA